rnacentral:lncRNA from 1 species
UCCUUAAGCAUUAACUGAGUACUUGUUACACGUAUAUGAUGAUACAGUGAUACGGACACUUCUGACCUCAAAGCAGUCACCUUCCAAUAGAGAAGACCAAAAAAUGAGAUUGUCUAGCUGCAGGAAGACAAGCUCAGGGCUCCCACUGGUUCUGCAUUAUGGUAUAUACUAUAACCAGCAUUUCUCCCCACCCCUGUUGUCCCUCCCCUACCUCCCCCCAACAACUGCCCCCAGUGUGUGAUGCUCCUCUCCCUGAGUCCACAUCAGAACUCGGAUUUUUGACAGAAGGGAAAAAUAUGAUUGAGUUCUAGCUUUCUCUAGGGAAGGACUAUCUAGAUCACGUGCAUGAGAGAAAAACCA